rnacentral:rRNA from 1 species
CCUACGGGAGGCAGCAGUAGGGAAUCUUCCACAAUGGGCGAAAGCCUGAUGGAGCAACGCCGCGUGAGUGAAGAAGGUCUUCGGAUCGUCAAACCCUGUUGUUAGAGAAGAAAGUGCGUGAGAGUAACUGUUCACGUUUCGACGGUAUCUAACCAGAAAGCCACGGCUAACUACGUGCCAGCAGCCGCGGUAAUACGUAGGUGGCAAUCGUUGUCCGGUUUUAUUUGGAGUAAAGGGAACGCGGGCGGUCUUUUAAGUCUGAUGUGAAAGCCGUCGGCUUAACCGGAGUAGGGCAUUGGAAACGGGGAGAUUUGAGUGCAGAAGAGGAGAGUGGAA